UUGACGCAAUGAUGACUGCAUAGUUCAGCGGAUUGUCCGUGAAGAAAAAAAAAAUUUGUCUUUCGACCCUAUCUGAGGUGUCUC